GCCUGGGUGGCUCAGUCGGUUAAGCGUCUGACUUCGGCUCAGGUCAUGAUCUCAGUUUGUGGGUUCGAGCCCUGCGUCGGGCU
rnacentral:tRNA from 1 species